rnacentral:misc_RNA from 1 species
CGACCUUGACGACGGGAGGCGGUCGCCUCCACGCGCGGCAUCUCAGGGCCCAGCAUCCCCCCACCCCAGCCCCGCUCCGUGUGCGAAGACGCCAGGGGAUCUCCCCCGUCCCUGCCGAACGCCGCACCACCUCCGGCGGUGACAGGCUCAGGCACCUGCGACGUGGCGAGGUCAGAGCGACGUAUCGCUACAGAUGUCGGCGGUCAGGUCCUGGCCUGCGUGGCGUCGCGGCGGCAUGCGAAGCGGCUGUUGGUGGGUAGAGCUUGGGGCGGGGGCCGUGCUCCCCGACGACCGAGUCGGCGCACUGCUGUACCGUGUGCGUCUACGGCUGCUUCGCACCAGACGACGGGCGCCCGUGGCAGGAGGGGCCGGAGGUGCAUGUGUGUGUGUGUCAGAGGUGGCGGUGUAGGGUGUGGUGUUUGGCCUCGCCUGGUGCACGGCAGACAGUGAAGCACAGAACACAUAAGCCGACGAAAAAUGCCUUUGGACGUGCGCUACCUUCCCUUGGCUGGCCGCGACGUGGUCGGCGCGCCUCUGCUUUGCUUGUAUUUCGGUGUUUCCCGCACCCCUUCGGGCACCUUUCGAGGACGCUGCACCGCGCCGCGCUCACACUUCGCCCAUUCUUGCGUUGCUGGUGCUGCUCGGCUUACUUCGUUACCGCCUUUGCCGUCUUCCGCUCUCCCUUUCGGCCUCUCCACUCCCCCCCUCCUGCGCCUCGCUUGCAUCCUUAUCGCAACGUUCUCCGUCCUCGCCGGCACCCCUCCCCCGCCUUGUGCCUUGCUGCCCGCUGACUCGUCGACCGCACCGUGGCGGUGGUGAGUGCGUGUGCCCGCGUUCCGCGUCUGUCCUCUCCCCCGUGUCUCCUGGUCGCGGCCACGCCGUUUGCCUUGCACCGCGUUGGCCUUUCAG